GUGAACGCUAGCGACAUGCUUAACACAUGCAAGUCGAACAAUGAAAUCCCUCGAGAUGGAUUAGUGGCGCACAGGUGAGUAAUAUAUAGUUAAUGUGCCUCGAAGACUAAAAUAGCCACUGGAAACGGUGAUUAAUACUAAAUACACCUCUCUAACAUAAGUUAGAGUGGGAAAUGUUUUUUCGCUUCGAGAUCAGACUAUAUCCUAUCAGUUAGUUGGUGAGGUAAAGGCUCACCAAGGCAAUGACGGGUAGCGGGUCUAAGAGGAUGAUCCGCCACACUAAUACUGAGACACGGACCAGACUCCUACGGGAGGCAGCAGUGAGGAAUAUUGCACAAUGGGGGAAACCCUGAUGCAGCAACGCCGCGUGGAGGAUGACGCAUUUCGGUGUGUAAACUCCUUUUAUAUGUCAAGAAAAUAACGGUAGCAUAUGAAUAAGCACCGGCUAACUCCGU
rnacentral:rRNA from 1 species